GACGAACGCUGGCGGCGUGCUUAACACAUGCAAGUCGAACGGAAAGGCCUGCUUUCCCUUGUGGAUUGCGGGUACUCGAGUGGCGAACGGGUGAGUAACACGUGAGUGAUCUGCCCCCAACUUGGGUAUAAGCCUGGGAAACUGGGUCUAAUUCCCGAUAGGACUGCAGGGUGGUGCCUGUGGUGGAAAACGAUUUUCUAGUGGUUGGGGAUGAGCUCGCGGCCUAUCAGCUUGGUGGUGGGGUAAUGGCCUACCAAGGCGGCGACGGGUAGCCGGCCUGAGGGGGUGGACGGCCACAUUGGGACUGAGAUACGGCCCAGACUCCUACGGGAGGCAGCAGUGGGGAAUAUUGCACAAUGGGCGGAAGCCUGAUGCAGCGACGCCGCGUGGGGGAUGACGGCCUUCGGGUUGUAAACUCCUUUCGACCGCGAGGAAGCCACCUGGUUGGAAGGGUGGUGACGGUAGUGGUAGAAGAAGCACCGGCUAACUACGUG
rnacentral:rRNA from 1 species